UGGGGAAUAUUGGGCAAUGGGGCGCAAGCCUGACCCAGCAACGCCGCGUGAGGGAAGAAGGUUUUCGGAUUGUAAACCUCUGUCGCAGGGGACGAAGGAAGUGACGGUACCCUGUAAGAAAGCCCCGGCUAACUACGUGCCAGCAGCCGCGGUAAUACGUAGGGGGCAAGCGUUAUCCGGAUUUACUGGGUGUAAAGGGAGCGCAGGCGGCAAAGCAAGCCAGAGGUGAAAACCCGGGGCUCAACCCCGAGGAUUGCCUUUGGAACUGUUUUACUGGAGUGCUGGAGGGGCGGGCGGAAUUCCUGGUGUAGCGGUGAAAUGCGUAGAUAUCAGGAGGAACACCGGUGGCGAAGGCGGCCUGCUGGACAGUAACUGACGCUGAGGCUCGAAAGCGUGGGGAGCAAACAGGAUUAGAUACCCUGGUAGU
rnacentral:rRNA from 1 species